rnacentral:rRNA from 1 species
UACGAAGGGGGCUAGCGUUGCUCGGAAUCACUGGGCGUAAAGCGCACGUAGGCGGCUUGUUAAGUCAGGGGUGAAAUCCUGGAGCUCAACUCCAGAACUGCCUUUGAUACUGGCGAGCUUGAGUCCGGGAGAGGUGAGUGGAACUGCGAGUGUAGAGGUGAAAUUCGUAGAUAUUCGCAAGAACACCAGUGGCGAAGGCGGCUCACUGGCCGGUACUGACGCUGAGGUGCGAAAGCGUGGGGAGCAAACAGG